rnacentral:rRNA from 1 species
UUGCGGUUAAAAAGCUCGUAGUUGGAUUUCUGUUGAGGUUGGGCGGUCCGCACUUCGUGCGUGUAUCUGUUUUGACCUUGGCAUCCUUUCAAGGAACGUAACUGUGCUUAAUUGCAUGGUGCGGUACUUGAAACUUUUACUUUGAGGAAAUUAGAGUGUUCACGGCAGGCUAACGCCUUGAAUAUAUUAGCAUGGAAUAAUAAUAUAGGAUCUUGGGUCUAUUUUGUUGGUUUCUAGAGCUAAGAUAAUGAUUAAUAGGGACAAUUGGGGGCAUUCGUAUUAACACGUCAGAGGUGGAAUCUUGGAUUGUGUUACACACUACUGCAA